rnacentral:rRNA from 1 species
AGUGAACGCUGGCGGCAGGCCUAACACAUGCAAGUCGAGCGGAAAGGCCCACUUGUGGGUACUCGAGCGGCGAACGGGUGAGUAACACGUGAGUAAUCUGCCCUUCACUUGGGGAUAACGUCCAGAAAUGGGUGCUAAUACCCGGUAUUCACGUAUGACCGCAUGGUUGUGGGUGGAAAGGUUUUUCUGGUGGGGGAUGU